GAGGAACGAAGGGGAAGCAGUUAGAGGAGAUCCACUCACGGGAUUCUGCGUUGUUGAUUUGUGUGUGGAAGUAUCGUGGGUUUUGCCUGCCUCCAUUGUUGCUCGUCUGCUGAAAUAAGUUGGAAUCUUUGCCACGGUGCCUGUCUCUCUGUGCUCAGGUUUAUUGGAGCUCUCAGGUUGUACCCCAGCAGGCCCCUCUUCAGGUCCAGCGGGUUCUCUGGUCAGCUGGUCGUCCACCGUGACUCCGAGAAGCUUGGCACAUCGGACCACCUGGAGGGGGUGAGGGCCCACUGUGAGCUGGGGAGGGGGCACUGGUACAGAGGAGGUACAGCAAUGCAUCACCACAGUUUUGCUGUGGUUGAUGGUCAUCCUGCUCUCCUCCGUCCACGUCUGCAGUCGCUCCAGAAUUGCUUGCAGUGGCGAGUAGUCCGGGUUCUUGGUGGAAACUGGGACGCCCACGGUGCAGUCGUCCACAUACUUCCAGCGAUGGGGAGUGUCAGUGAGGGCGUCGUUAAUGAGGAGGAGGAGGCAUAGAGGGCCCGUCUUGGUCCCCUGGGGACCCCACAUGUCAGCUGUUGGAAAUUAGAGACAGAGCCCUGAUAGCGAACGGCCUGACGCCUCCCUGUGAGGAAUUCGGCUAGCCACGCUAUCAGGUUAGGAGGGAGACCCAGACUUACUGCCUUGCUGAUGACAACAGUGUGAUCAACAAGAUCAAAGGCUUUUUUGAAGUGUGUGUGUGUGUGUGUGUGUGUUUAAAAGUAUUGUUAUUAACAUAUACGUAUUUUCGUGACAGUUGAAGUAUUUGCAUUACUUUUAUACGUGUUGUUUUCACCGUAUGUUCUUCUGUUUAAGUAUAUUUUACAGUAUAAGAAAUGGCGUGACUUUGUAAGUAUUAUUCUGCACCAUCUAAGUAUGUUACAUUUCAUGUUUUCACGGUUUAAGUGUGUGCAGUUCCUCUUUAUAAAGGAGAUUAACUUACAGCGCGUCAUACACACACACACACACACACACACACACACACACACACACACACACACACACACACACACACACACACACACACACACACACACACACACACACACACACACACACACAUUAUAUCACCUCCCCCCAAACACAUCCAUGCAACAAAAGCCUCAAUUCUCAAUUACCAGUCAUUAGAGAGAGAGAGAGAGAGAGAGAGAGAGAGAGAGAGAGAGAGAGAGAGAGAGAGGGUACGAGUAUAUGGAGUCUUAAUGGUAUGUGAUAACAGGUAACUAAGAGGCGGUGAUGGUGGUGGUGGUGUUUUUAUCACCUCCCUUAUUGAUACUGUAAAUUAAGGAUAGGGAUUAUACAAAAAAUGGAAGAGGAAUUAACAAAUUCUUCUAAACCAAACUUCUUGUCCUAUCCACUCCUACGCUGAUGAUACCACCCUGCACUUUUCCAUGUCUUUUCAUAGACGUCCAACCCUUCAGGAGGUAAACAUAUCACGCAGGGAAGCCACAGAACGCCUGACUUCUGAUCUUUCUAAAAUUUCUGAUUGGGGCAGAGCAAACUUGGUAUUGUUCAAUGCCUCAAAAACUCAAUUCCUCCAUCUAUCAACUCGACACAACCUUCCAGACAACUAUCCCCUCUUCUUCAAUGACACUCAAACUGUCCCCCUCUUCUACACUGAACAUCCUCGGUCUGUCCUUUACUUAUAAUCUGAACUGGAAACUUCACAUCUCAUCUCUAGCUAAAACAGCUUCUAUGAAGUUAGGUGUUCUGAGACGUCUCUGCCAGUUUUUCUCACCCCCCCAGCUGCUAACUCUGUACAAGGGCCUUAUCCGUCCAUGUAUGGAGUAUGCUUCACAUGUCUGGGGGGGUUCCACUCAUACUGCUCUUCUAGACAGGGUGGAAUCAAAAGCUUUUCGUCUCAUCAACUCCUCUCCUCUAACUGACUGUCUUCAGCCUCUCUCUCACCGCCGCAAUGUUGCAUAUCUAGCUGUCUUCUACCGCUAUUUUCAUGCUAACUGCUCUUCUGAUCUUGCUAACUGCAUGCCUCCCCUCCUUCCGCGGCCUCGCUGCACAAGACUUUCUUCUUUCUCUCAUCCCUAUUCUGUCCACCUCUCUAACGCAAGAGUUAACCAGUAUUCUCAAUCAUUCAUCCCUUUCUCUGGUAAACUCUGGAACUCCCUGCCUGCUUCUGUAUUUCCACCUUCCUACAACUUGAAUUCCUUCAAGAGGGAGGUUUCAAGACACUUAUCCACCAAUUUUUGACCACUGCUUUGACCCUUUUAUGGGACUGGCAUUUCAGUGGGCAUUUUUUUUUAUUAGAUUUUUGUUGCCCUUGGCCAGUGUCCUUCCUACAUAAAAAAAAAAAAAACAUAGAAGGUUAUACGUAGGUGUGCGUUUCUCUUAUCAUCUCCUCUCCUCUUCCCUCCGCUCUUCUUCUCCCCUCACCUUCUUGUUAACACAGAUGGAAGUUUAUAAAGAUCACGAUACCAGACAAAAAGAGAAUAAGAAAACAACGCCACCACUUCACGACAAGAUAAUCAAGGAAUUCUCAGAUACAAAGAUAAAUAUUGUAAGAGAUUUGAUAUGCUGAAUGAGUCUCCGUAGUGUGAAAUGAGUGAGGAUGACGGCUUCAUCUAACCAGGUAAUGAAGUUAAAUACCUCCCACAUCUUGCCUUCAGCACAUCGUUAGUUAGAAUUAGUGCUGUUAUUGUGCCUUACUGAUAAUUAUGAAAGGAAAACUCGUAAAGAAAGAACGUAAAGUCCCCGUAAACUGGAUCAUUAUUUGAAUUCAGGAGAGGUAGGGGUGUGAUAUUAAAUACACCAACUUGACUAAAAAUGGUGAAAUACUGGACGAGGAGUGGAGAGCUAAUGUUAUUCUUGUGUGUUUAAGUCAAGUGGUGGUACAGACAGGUGCGCUGUUGUGUUGUCCUCGUUAAUUAAAUACCAGGACAUAAGAAGUGCUUUAGUGGGGAAACAGACUUAAGAUAAUGCUCUCUUUGUCUGUGAUGUAAUGUCAUUUGAUGUAAUAAACUCUUUUUCUCUCAUUAAGUCUAGCAAGUUUACCAGUAAGGAUUAAGUUCAGUCUGGCUGCAGGAUUAAUAGUCUUGCUUGUAAUAGUAAUGUGAUGGGAAGGACAGAUGGAUUGUGUUCUGUCAGUAAGCAAAGGACGACCACUUGAAAUUACAUCUUGCACAGGUUGUAAUUAAGAUGGGCAGCUUCAUAAAGGUAAUGUAUGACACCUGUCCUAUUGAAAUUAAGGAGAGUAAUAUAAUAGAAUAAUGGAAUAUGGCGAAACAGAUUUAAGAUGCAUUAGAAAUUACACCUUUACACUUUUAAUUUAGGCGAGUAGACAUAGAAAGGUAAUAUAUUGGUAAUACAUCACACCUGUCCUAUUGAAGUUAAGGACAGUUAUAUAAUACAGUAAUACAGGAGUACGGCUAAUAUGCUUAAGAUACCUUCCCUCGUCGAGCAAAGAGGAGUCACUUAAAAUUACACCUUUGCAAAUUUGAUUAAGGUAGUUAGGCAUAUAAAAAUAGCAUACUGCACCUAUCUGUUUUAAUUAAUAGCAGUAAUAUAAUACAGGUGUGAUUAAACGAGGAAUGAUCAUAUAAAAUUUCACCUUCACACACCUCAAGGCCAGCGGGAAUGUGAGGGCAAUACAUCACGUGUAUCUUAUUUAAGUUAAGGACCAGAACCCCGCAGCCCGGCAGGAGUGCUGUGGGGCAAAACUCAUAAGCCUUGGGAGAGAAAUGAAGAGAAUAAUAUUAUGCAUAAGAUGGAAAGACAGACACGGCAGGGAAGCUUGGAUUAGGGAAGGCACGGAAAGUUGAGGGAAGGUAUUCUGGCUGACAGGAAGGUGAGGAGAUGGAAGGCGCUGCUUGUGUGGGGCGAACAUUUGACGGUUAUUAUUGCUAUCGUCAUCAUCGUCAUCAUCAUAUUCAUCUCAGGGUGCUUUGGGCGCAAUAAGCCAUGUCACAUUGGCAUUUUCUUAGACCCCACAAUGAUGAUUACCUAAGUUCAUUCUUACCAUUUUUGUCAACAUUUACUUAUCCACCUUGCUUUGUGUUCCUCGUUUGCUAAGAGAUAUCAGGCUGAGGUUUGCAUUAUGAAGCAUUUCGCCUUCUUAUUUCGACUAUCUUUAUCAGGCUGUAGUGGAGGUUAUUAAGGUUUUCCAAAGGUGUUUUCCUCAUAAUUCUAGCAAACAUUAGAAACUAUGUUCAUUAAGGUUAGUCAUUUUCUUAUUUUCUCCAUUUCUUAACUGCCAUGGAAUUAUACAAAUUGUGUUGACGGUGUUGUGAAAUGAAUAAAGAGGACGUGUGUCUGGCGAGAGGGAGAAAAUAAGAGGUGUGAUGGAACGAGGAGAAGAAUGUGUGGAGGGCGUAAUGAAGUUGAAGAUGGAGGAGGAGGAAUAGGAGGAGGAGGAGGACAGAGUAAGGAAGAUAAAAUAUGUAGGAGGGAAUGGAGAAUAAAAAUUGGAAUAGGAGGAGGAGGAGGAGGACAGAGUAAGGAAGAUGAAAUAUGUAGGAGGGAAUGGAGAAUAAAAAAUUGUCAAAUGAGCAAAGUAUGAAUUAUGUACAGAAAACGUGUGCAGGAAAUUAAAAAGAAAAAGUGCAUGGCAAAGUUUGAGUAGGAUGGAUAUUUUGUUAAUUAAAGAGAAAAAGUGAAAGAGGCAGAAAAUACAUGUACAUUUUUAAACACCAAAAAUACAGGUAAUCGAAAUAAAAA